rnacentral:rRNA from 1 species
UACGGAGGGUGCAAGCGUUGUCCGGAUUUAUUGGGUUUAAAGGGUGCGUAGGCGGCUUUUUUAAGUCAGCGGUGAAAUACUUCAGCUCAACUGGAGUCGUGCCGUUGAUACUGGGAAGCUUGAGUACUGAUGAAGUGGGCGGAAUUGAAGGUGUAGCGGUGAAAUGCAUAGAUAUCUUCAAGAACACCAUUCGAAGGCAGCUCACUAAGGAGUAACUACGCUGAGGCAGAAAGCG